GGCGGACGGGUGAGUAGCGCGUGGGAACCUACCUUGCAGUACGGAAUAACUGUUGGAUACGGCAGCUAAUACCGUAUACGCCCUUCGGGGGAAAGAUUUAUCGCUGUUGGAUGGGCCCGCGCCUGAUUAGCUUGUUGGUGAGGUAAUGGCUCACCAAGGCUACGAUCAGUAGCUGGUCUGAGAGGAUGAUCAGCCACACUGGGACUGAGACACGGCCCAGACUCCUACGGGAGGCAGCAGUGGGGAAUAUUGGACAAUGGGGGCAACCCUGAUCCAGCCAUGCCGCGUGAGUGAAGAAGGCCUUAGGGUUGUAAAACUCUUUCACCAGGGACGAUGAUGACGGUACCUGGAGAAGAAGCCCCGGCUAACUCCGUGCCAGCAGCCGCGGUAAUACGGAGGGGGCUAGCGUUGUUCGGAAUUACUGGGCGUAAAGCGCGCGUAGGCGGUUUAUCAAGUCAGACGUGAAAUCCCCGGGCUCAACCCGGGAACUGCGUUUGAUACUGGUUGACUAGAGGCCGGGA
rnacentral:rRNA from 1 species